ensembl:snRNA U6 U6 spliceosomal RNA
GUACUUGCUUUGGCAGCACAUGUACUAAAAUAGGAAUGAUACAGAGAAGAUCAGCAUGGCCCCUAUGCAAGGAUGACAGGUGAAUCUAUGAAGCGUUCUAUUAAAAG